rnacentral:tRNA from 1 species
GAGGGUAUAGCUCAGUGGUAGAGCAUGUGCUUAGCAAGCACAUGGUCCUGGGUUUAAUUCCCAGCAUCACUA